CGGCUGCUCAAAGACAUCCAGGAAGUCAAGAAGCACAUUCCUCAACUGCAGGAGCAGCUGUCCAAAGCAACAGGCUCGGCUCAGGAUGUCAUUUUGUCUUCCAAAUCUAUAUCCGAAUCUUUGCAGAUCACUGAGGUGGAAGCUGAGAGGGGGGAUGGGCCAAACAGAGGAGACUGUCAUUUUGGUGAUGGCCCCCAGUGAAUGACACAGCAGAGAGUCCUCGCAGUGUCUUGAGAGAGCAGAGCUAUCUGGAUGACAGCCCAGAGAAGACCGAGACUCACGAAACAG